AAGAGGUGGUCCGAUGCCAGUCCCGAACUGAAGAGCAAAUACGAAGCUAUGGCUGAGAAGGACAAGGCUCGAUACGAAAGAGAAAUGACUGCGUACAAAAAAAAGAUGAAGGACGGCCCAGGAGUUGGAGCACCGGCAGCGGCCAAGAAAGCUGAAAGCGAGGAGGAGUGGGAAGAUGAAGACGAAUAGCAAGGAGAGUAACGAUUAGCCGGACGCACGUCAAAAAUCUCAUCUAUCACCCCGUGUCCUUGAUCCCGAUGCAUACCUCACCUACUGUACAUACCAUUGACCUUAGCGUGAGCGUACUUACACCACUAGGAGAACAAAUAACUAACCACCAGUCCCCCCAGACUGUUUUCACAAUAAUUAUUAAAAAACAAAAUGAGGAAUCAACAACUACAACAACCGCGAUUAUAAUAAUUAUUUUAAAGAAAAAAAAUUGUAUGUGUGAGUGAUUUAUGAUAAUGAUGAUUACGCGAGAGGAGAUGCGUUAGUUGUAUGAGUGACAUUUGUAUUUUAACAUAUUGAUAGUAAAACAUGUAAAGUGGCAUAAGAUAGCGAAAGGAUUAAACAAGAAAAAAAAUAAUAAAAAUGAAACAUUUGACGAGAGGUAGAGAGAAAAAAUAAGAGAUGGUGCCCACUUUUCUGUCUUGGGGUGGAAGGCGCAGGGGCUCAAUUAUCGCUGACUUUGUCUCCACUCUAUGUUUACAAAAAAAGUAAUAAAACUAUGAAAUCAUUUGAUUUAGUUAUUAAUAUGAGUAAUGAUAAAUGAAAAAAAAUAAAUAAAAGCAGAAAAUAAUGGAAGGGAUAUAUGUAUUGAUCGAUGAAGUACGUUCCUGCACUUCCAAAGGAAUAAAACUCGAGGAACGUUGUCAGUUCAGUUCAUUCGGUGCCAGCAUAGUUUGCGGUUUAAUAUUAUUAACGAUGAAGGAGCAGUUUUUUUGUAAUUACUCGACAUUUUGUACAGUAUACCUCUUAUUCUUUAAAUAAUUCUCAUGCUCGGAUCGGCGGCUGAGUGAAUCGCGCAGGUGGAGAGAUAGUGGCUUUACCAUUUUUUCCUUUUUGUUUUUUUUUUUUUUAAUUUUUAUUUUAUUUGCGAUUCUAAACGAGGAGUGUGUCGAUACGCUGCACCUCGCUGUACCUGUGUAAUUUAUAUCGAUGUUGUGUAAAACCACUGACGGUACGACUUGAUCUCGAUCGCGAGCGUUACAAUGCGAUCCUAUGUAUAUUGCAUAUAUAUACAUUGAGUCGCAGUAACAUUGUGCAACGCGCGUGAUGGAGCCUAGAGUUUAAUUAGCCUGCGAAUGCGGUUUAGCGAGCGAAAAGAAAGUCGAGUGAAACUUUCUUUGAAAUCAAAACGAAAAAUAUUAACAAUUUUUUUUUCGAAAUUUUGUUUGCUCCACGGCCGAUGAGCAAAUGAGUACUUCUCUCGAUGAUGUAUUGCACAGAAGUGAGGGAAACGAGUAAAAAAAGGAUUUAAAGUGAGAUGAAGGGUGGCUGUUGUGCGUACAUAACGUAAAUCAUUGUUAUUCCACUCCUCUCAAAUGUAAUAUGCUGUUUAUCGUUGGAACGGGGAUUAUAGAGUGCUUGAGCCUGUUUUAUCAAACUGUAUUACACUCUCGAUUCGUAAAAAUUCAUUCUUUUUUUAUUAUUAUCCAGCGUCUAUUGCGAUACAAGAUUAUCAAUGUAAUAUUUGAAUUCUCUUUCUUUUUUUAAUUCGACUGACGAAUAGCUUCUGAUUUGUAUUGCGAUCUACUACUGGCGCUAUUUAUGUUUGAUUUAAUUAAUCAAAGAGAUCAUCGGUCCCUGCCCCUUACCAUCGUUAUAUCCCCUUCUUACAAACAUUCAUUUUUGUCAAUAAAAACGAUAUUUCUUAAAAACGACAAA